AUUGAACGCUGGCGGCAUGCUUUACACAUGCAAGUCGGACGGCAGCACAGAGGAGCUUGCUUCUUGGGUGGCGAGUGGCGAACGGGUGAGUAAUGCAUCGGAACGUACCGAAUAGUGGGGGAUAACUUACCGAAAGGUAAGCUAAUACCGCAUAUUUCUCUGAGGAGGAAAGCUGGUGACCUUCGGGCCUGGCGCUCUUUGAGCGGCCGAUGUCUGAUUAGCUAGUUGGUAGGGGAAAGGCCUACAAAGGCGACGAUCAGUAGCGGGUCUGAGAGGAUGAUCCGCCACAAUGGGACUGAGACACGGCCCAGACGCCUACGGGAGGCAGCAGUGGGGAAUUUGGGACAAUGGGCGCAAGCCUGAUCCAGCCAUGCCGCGUGUCUGAAGAAGGCCUUCGGGUUGUAAAGGACUUUUGUCAGGGAAGAAAAGGUUGAUGUUAAUAGCAUCAACUGAUGACGGUACCUGAAGAAUAAGCACCGGCUAACUACGUGCCAGCAGCCGCCGUAAUAC
rnacentral:rRNA from 1 species